AUGCGCCAGCUUCAUAGUGCCUAUGAUCUCCCGUUCCUAUUGAUUGGCGACCUAAAUGAGAUUAGUGCAUUACAAUAGAAGGAUGGUGGGAUCCCUCGCCCAGUCCAGUAUAUAAACGCAUUUCAGGAAGCAAGAAGGAACUGUGAGUUGCGAGACUUGGCAUACAUUGGAGACCCAUUCACAUGGCGUCGAGGCAUAAUUCAUGCGCGAUUGGAUAGAAGGCUGGUAAAUGAUGCUUGGGCAUCGAUCUUCCCCCAUAUUGCACUGAUAAAUACGGAAUUCAAUCACUCAGACCAUCGGCCUCUUCUUGUUGAUACAUAUUACUAUCUCCAAGCGACUGGUGCUACUAAUGGCUAUGAGAGAGUACAUUCGAUGCCACUCUAA
rnacentral:rRNA from 1 species